GACGAGGGAUCCUAGCGUUGUUCGGAAUUAUUGGGCGUAAAGCGGGUGUAGGUGGCUUUGUAAGUCAGGUGUGAAAGCCCAGGGCUCAACCCUGGAAGUGCAUUUGAUACUGCGAAGCUUGAAUGUCGGAGAGGUUACUAGAAUACCUGGUGUAGUGGUGAAAUACGUAGAUAUCAGGUGGAAUACCGGAGGCGAAGGCGGGUAACUGGCCGAACAUUGACACUGAAACCCGAAAGCGUGGGGAUCAAAC
rnacentral:rRNA from 1 species